rnacentral:misc_RNA from 1 species
ACGACGUGCCUUGCAUGCCUCUUCAGUCGGUCGCCCAAGUGCAUGCUAGCCUUGGUCGUUCUGUUGGUUUCCUGUGCUAUAUACCUAUCACGAAGGUAUCGAAUCGGCUAAAAAUGUCCCGUUUCCGCCUUGUGCUGCUUCCCUUGGGGUUGCGGUGCAGGGUGGACCUCAAAGCAUCUGCCGUGUUCCACUGCUCGCACGUCUCGAUACGUGCUCGAGUUUUUGGCCCAUGGUUGCGUGCUCGAUCUCUCGGAUGCGGAAAAUUGAGUGGGCACGAGGCCUUCGGUCCCUAUUUGCCCCGAAACAAAGCGUUCUACGCUUCGUGCGAACGACGAUCGUAGCCGUUUUGAUUCAAGUCCGAGCG